CCAUGGGAGUCGGAAAUAGCCCGAAGUCUGUGACCCAACCUGCAAGGGAGGGAGCAGCCGAAGGCAGGUCGGAUGACUGGGGUGAAGUCGUAACAAGGUAAC
rnacentral:rRNA from 1 species